AUCACUUCUCAGCCUUUCAGCUAAGAUCAAGUGUAGUAUCUGUUCUUAUCAGUUUAAUGAAAAUGAACUAAAGCAAAGCUUUGGAAGCAUGCCCUUCUUUCAUGUGUGCACAUACCUCCA
ensembl:snRNA U2 U2 spliceosomal RNA